rnacentral:rRNA from 1 species
GACGAACGCUGGCGGCGUGCUUAACACAUGCAAGUCGAACGAAGUGGCGAACGGGUGAGUAACGCGUAAUCAACCUGCCCUUCAGAGGGGGACAACAGUUGGAAACGACUGCUAAUACCGCAUACUGCAGGGGGGGGUUGCGUCUGAUUGGCAGGUUGGGGGGGUAACGGCCCACCAAGGCGAUGAUCAGUAGCCGGUUUGAGAGUAUGAACGGCCACACUGGGACUGGGACACGGCCCAGACUCCUACGGGAGGCAGCAGUGGGGAAUCUUCCGCAAUGGACGAAAGUCUGACGGAGCAACGCCGCGUGAGUGAUGACGGCCUUCGGGUUGUAAAGCUCUGUUAAUCGGGACGCGGUACCGGAAUAGAAAGCCACGGCUAACUACGUGCCAGCAGCCGCGGUAAUAC